rnacentral:rRNA from 1 species
AGUAAUUAAACGGCCGCGGUAUCCUAACCGUGCAAAGGUAGCAUAAUCAUUUGUCUAUUAAUUGUAGACCUGUAUGAAAGGCACCAUGAGAGCCUAACUGUCUCUUAUAACUAAUCAAUUAAACUGAUCUCCUAGUACAAAAGCUAGAAUUUUACCAUAAGACCAGAAGACCCUGUGAAGCUUUAAUUAAACUAUUAAACCCCAUAAUAACUAAUUUUGGUUGGGGCGACCUUGGAAAAAAGAAGAACUUCCAAACAAGCACCUCUCCUGCACCAUAGGCUAACAAGCCUCAAAUAGACCCAGCACAGCUGAUUGAUGAACCAAGUUACUCCAGGGAUAACAGCGCUAUCUUCUUCAAGAGCCCAUAUCAAAAAGAAGGUUUACGACCUCGAUGUUGGAUCAGGACAUCCUAGUAAUGCAACAGUUACUAAAGGUUCGUUUGUUCAACGAUUAAUAGUCCUACGUGAUCUGAG